rnacentral:rRNA from 1 species
AAUGAACGCUGGCGGCAGGCCCAACACAUGCAAGUCGAACGGAUCCUUCGGGAUUAGUGGCGGACGGGUGAGUAACGCGUGGGAACAUACCCUUUGGUACGGAAUAGCCUCGGGAAACUGGGAGUAAUACCGUAUGUGGUCGAGAGACGAAAGAUUUAUCGCCAAAGGAUUGGCCCGCGUUGGAUUAGGUAGUUGGUGGGGUAAUGGCCUACCAAGCCGACGAUCCAUAGCUGGUUUGAGAGGAUGAUCAGCCACACUGGGACUGAGACACGGCCCAGACUCCUACGGGAGGCAGCAGUGGGGAAUCUUAGACAAUGGGGGAAACCCUGAUCUAGCCAUGCCGCGUGAUCGAUGAAGGCCUUAGGGUUGUAAAGAUCUUUCAGGUGGGAAGAUAAUGACUGUACCACCAGAAAAAGCCCCGGCUAACUCCGUGCCAGCAGCCGCGGUAA